CUAGCUUCUUUGAUGCAGAUCUAACAGGUGCUGAUUUGUCUGAAGCUGAUCUACGAGGUGCAGAUUUCUCCUUGGCAAACGUAACAAAGGUGAAUUUAACAAACGCUAACUUGGAAGGAGCGACUGCUACUGGAAACACAUC